rnacentral:misc_RNA from 1 species
GUGAAUCAUCGAAUCUUUGAACGCAAAUUGCACUCUCUUCGGAGAGUAUGCCUGUUUGAGGGUCAGCCUAAAAAAAAAUCGACAUAGUCGCUGUUUUGCGGUGACAUUCGUCGGAAAUUGGGUCAUCUUAAACCUUUGGGUUUUAAGCGGCUUAAAAUUUUCUUUAAGAUUAUAUGAACGUUUCUAAGAUUUAUUUAUUAUUUGUUUUAGGUAUUGAUCUUUAUUAGAUGUGGUCGUUGCAUUGGAUCUCGUUCCU